GAUGAACGCUGGCGGCGUGCCUAAUACAUGCAAGUCGAGCGAACAGACGAGAGUGCUUGCACUCUCUGACGUUAGCGGCGGACGGGUGAGUAACACGUGGGUAACCCACCUAUAAGACUGGGAUAACUUCGGGAAACCGGAGCUAAUACCGGAUAAUAUUUAGCUUCGCAUGAAGCGAUAGUGAAAGACGGUUCUGCUGUCACUUAGAGAUGGACCCGCGGUGUAUUAGCUAGUUGGUGAGGUAACGGCUCACCAAGGCAACGAUACAUAGCCGACCUGAGAGGGUGAUCGGCCACCCUGGGACUGAGACACGGCCCAGACUCCUACGGGAGGCAGCAGUAGGGAAUCUUCCGCAAUGGACGAAAGUCUGACGGAGCAACGCCGCGUGAGUGAAGAAGGUUUUCGGAUCGUAAAACUCUGUUGUAAGGGAAGAACAAGUACGUUAGUAACUGAACGUACCUUGACGGUACCUUACCAGAAAGCCACGGCUAACUACGUGCCAGCAGCCGCCGUAAUAC
rnacentral:rRNA from 1 species